AGCUCCAAUAGCGUAUAUUAAAAUUGUUGCAGUAAAAAAGCUCCUAGUUGAACUUGUGGCCUGGAUGGCUCGGUCUGACGCUUAUGCGUGAGUACCUGAGCCAUCCGACCAUCCUUGGGUGGAACCUGUGUGGCAUUAAGUUGUCGUGUAGGGGAUGCCCAUCUUUUACUGUGAAAAAAUUAACGUGUUCAAACAGGCUUAUGCCUUUGAAUAUAUUAGCAUGGAAUAAUGAUAUAGGACUUUGGUACUAUUUUGUUGGUUUGUGCACUAAAGUAAUGAUUAAUAGGGACAGUUGGGGAUAUUAGUAGUUUUAGGUCAGGGGUGAACUUCUUCGAUGCUUUAAAGACUAACUACUGCGAAAGCAUUUGCCAAGGAUGUUUUCA
rnacentral:rRNA from 1 species